UGUUACAUAUAAUAUUACUAAUAAUAUUACAGUGUAGUGGUAUAGUUCAAUAUAGUAAUAUAUAAUGCUAAUAUUGUGCUAUGCUAAUAAUAUAAUAUAUUGUAUGUACAUAUAAUUUUUAAGCCACUCUGAGUCCCCUUUGGGGUGAGAAGGGUGUGAUGCAAAUGUAGUAAAUAAAUGCAGUAAAUAAUAAAUAAAUAAAUAAAUUUUAGACUUAGGCUCACCCAAAGUCUGAAAUGACUUGAAGGCACACAACAACAACAACAACAACAACAACAACAACCCUAAUUAACUUGACGAUCUCAUUGGCCAGAAGCAGGACCACACUUCCCAUUGAAAUCCCGAUAAAUGUAUGUUGGUUAAAAUUGUUUUUAUUUUUAAAUAUGGUAUUGUUCUUUCAUUGUUGUUGUUGUUGUUGUUUUUGCACUACAAAUAAGACAUAUGCAGUGUGCAUCGGAAUUGGUUUGUAUUUUUUUCAAAUGAUAAUCCGGCCCCUCAACAGUCAGAAGGAUUGUGGACCGGCCCUCGGCUUAAAAAGUUUGAGGACCCCUGGCUUAGACCAUAGGUCUUUCGCAUGCUAGACGAACAAACAAUUACACAAAAGCCAGACCAUCAAAUACAAUAUAAAACAUGCCAUUAAAACCCUAUAUAAAUCAUUAAAACAUUAAAAUGCUGCAAAUAUCAAUGUCAGGAUAUGCCCUUCAAAUACUACAUAUGUCAUGGAUUAGCACCAACAUAAUUAAAAACAAGAUAAAACCAAGUACAUACAGCAUUAUUAAAACAAUUAUAAAAAUACUCUGGUUUCUCUUCAGAUCGUAUAAAUCUUUCGCCUAUUAUUAUUAUUGUUGUUGUUGUUAUUGAAAAGGAAAGGGCUCAAGGCUUUUAGGAAUUGUGGGAGUUGAAGUCCAAAACUCCCGGAGGGCCGAAAUUUGCCCAGGCCUGUUGUAAACAAUCUAUUUCGAUUUCAAAAAUGGAGCAAUGCAGUAAUAAGACUGCGCUCUUCCGGCUGGCAUGCUUCGGGAUGUCGGAGCAAACCGCCAAGUCUCUCUUCUUUGCAAGGAAAUCCAAGGUCGGUAUUCUGGAUUUUCCCCCAAAACCCAUCACAAAUAUGUAUCCAAACUCUGCAGAGUGAUAUUUGUCUCCGAAAGUGCCAAAUGCAGCAGUGCUCAUUUAGAUAAUGGCACUUCCUUGCUGCCAACAAAAGCUCACAGAUUUAUUAAUUUUUUUACUGCAGGAAGAGAAAACAAUUAAAAGUAAAGGAUGAGACAAAACGCUCUUUGUAUUUGUGGGCAGCCCAACUCUAGCGCUUUGGCAAUGCUUUGAAUUAGAAGUGACGCGUUCCAAGCCUAUAUUAUGAUGUAAUACAAAAUAAUAAUAAUAAUUCAUUAUUAUAAUUGUCUAUUUAUAUUACAUGUAAUAUUACUAGUAAUAUUGCAAUAUAGUUGUAUAGUACAAUAUCUAUAUAUAUAAAAGAGUGAUGGCAUCACGGCGACCCACAAAACAACAAAACUACAACCCCCCCAACCUCGAAAUUUGACAACACAACCCAUCAUCCACGCCUCUAGGUUGAUACAACAAAAAGCAAAGAAAAAUAAAGUCCUAAUUAGAA